rnacentral:rRNA from 1 species
AUACCCCGCUUCCAGGAAAAGCCUCUAAGCUCUAGAUUAUCAUUAAUCGUACCCCAAACCGACACAGGUGGUCAGGUAGAGAAUACUCAGGCGCUUGAGAGAACUCGGGUGAAGGAACUAGGCAAAAUGGUGCCGUAACUUCGGGAGAAGGCACGCUGGCAUUAGGUGAAGUGAUUUACUCAUGGAGCUGAAGCCAGUCGCAGAUACCAGCUGGCUGCAACUGUUUAUUAAAAACACAGCACUGUGCAAACACGAAAGUGGACGUAUACGGUGUGACGCCUGCCCGGUGCUGGAAGGUUAAUUGAUGGGGUUAUCCGUAAGGAGAAGCUCUUGAUCGAAGCCCCAGUAAACGGCGGCCGUAACUAUAACGGUCCUAAGGUAGCGAAAUUCCUUGUCGGGUAAGUUCCGACCUGCACGAAUGGCGUAAUGAUGGCCAGGCUGUCUCCACCCGAGACUCAGUGAAAUUGAACUCGCUGUGAAGAUGCAGUGUACCCGCGGCAAGACGGAAAGACCCCGUGAACCUUUACUAUAGCUUGACACUGAACAUUGAGCCUUGAUGUGUAGGAUAGGUGGGAGGCUUUGAAGCGUGGACGCCAGUCUGCGUGGAGCCAACCUUGAAAUACCACCCUUUAAUGUUUGAUGUUCUAACGUAGCCCCAUUAUCUGGGGUGCGGACAGUGUCUGGUGGGUAGUUUGACUGGGGCGGUCUCCUCCCAAAGAGUAACGGAGGAGCACGAAGGUUGGCUAAGCAUGGUCGGACAUCAUGCGGUUAGUGCAAAGGCAUAAGCCAGCUUGACUGCGAGAGUGACGGCUCGAGCAGGUACGAAAGUAGGUCUUAGUGAUCCGGUGGUUCUGUAUGGAAGGGCCAUCGCUCAACGGAUAAAAGGUACUCCGGGGAUAACAGGCUGAUACCGCCCAAGAGUUCAUAUCGACGGCGGUGUUUGGCACCUCGAUGUCGGCUCAUCACAUCCUGGGGCUGAAGUAGGUCCCAAGGGUACGGCUGUUCGCCGUUUAAAGUGGUACGCGAGCUGGGUUUAGAACGUCGUGAGACAGUUCGGUCCCUAUCUGCCGUGGGCGUUGGAAGAUUGAAAGGGGCUGCUCCUAGUACGAGAGGACCGGAGUGGACGCACCACUGGUGUUCGGGUUGUCAUGCCAAUGGCAUUGCCCGGUAGCUAAGUGCGGAAGAGAUAACCGCUGAAAGCAUCUAAGCGGGAAACUUGCCUUGAGAUGAGUCUUCCCUGACUCUUUAAGGGUCCUAAAGGAACGUUUAAGACUAAGACGUUGAUAGGUUGGGUGUGUAAGCGUAGCGAUACGUUGAGCUAACCAAUACUAAUGAACCGUGAGGCUUAACCUG